CUAUAUUUAUAAUGUUGUAGAAGAACUUGCUCCAAAUCAAAAUCAAUUAAAAAUUACUUGAUAUUUAAGAAAAAUGAAGGGGAAGGCUCUUAUGAAUUUUUCAAGAUUUGUUGUUGCUUUGUUGCUAAUCAUCAUGGUUGCAAAUAAUUCAUCUGUCAAGGUGACUGCUAUUCCUAAGCCUCACUGUGAUAAAGCCAAGGACUGUGAUGAAGUUUGUAAACAUGCGCCAGCGAUUUGUGUUUCACACAUUUGUGUGUGUCUUAAACGAGACGAAUAUUAUGCACAUACGGAGAAGAGCAAAUUAAAUAUGAAUUGACGGAUGCAUAAAGUUCAGAAAAAAAUAAUAAUUAUGUAUUCAUUUAUAUUUCAUUGUAUUCCUUCUAUCAUUAGUUGGAAAGUUUGGAGAUCAAGAUUUUGUAUCUGAUAUGAAAGUCUUUUUUUUCAAUUGAAGUGACAGUUUAAAUGGAUUA